CGGAUGCUCCAGUUGAUCGCAUGGUCUUCUGGGAAAGCUUUCGCGGUAUGGGAUGGGGUCGCGUCCUAUCAGCUUGACGGCGGGGUAACGGCCCACCGUGGCUUCGACGGGUAGCCGGCCUGAGAGGGCGACCGGCCACAUUGGGACUGAGAUACGGCCCAGACUCCUACGGGAGGCAGCAGUGGGGAAUAUUGCACAAUGGGCGCAAGCCUGAUGCAGCGACGCCGCGUGAGGGAUGGAGGCCUUCGGGUUGUAAACCUCUUUUAUCGGGGAGCAAGCGUGAGUGAGUUUACCCGUUGAAUAAGCACCGGCUAACUACGUGCCAGCAGCCGCGGUAAUACGUAGGGUGCAAGCGUUAUCCGGAAUUAUUGGGCGUAAAGGGCUCGUAGGCGGUUCGUCGCGUCCGGUGUGAAAGUCCAUCGCUUAACGGUGGAUCCGCGCCGGGUACGG
rnacentral:rRNA from 1 species